rnacentral:rRNA from 1 species
AUACGUAGGUGACAAGCGUUAUCCGGAUUUACUGGGCGUAAAGGGCGUGUAGGCGGUCUUGCAAGUCAGAAGUGAAAUUCCUGAGCUCAACUCGGGCGCUGCUUCUGAAACUGCAGGACUUGAGUGCUGGAGGGGAUAGCGGAAUUCCUAGUGGAGCGGUAAAAUGCGCAGAUAUUAGGAAGAACACCGGUGGCGAAGGCGGCUAUCUGGACAGUAACUGACGCUGAGGCGCGAAAGCGUGGGGAGCAAACAGGAUUAGAUACCCUGGUAGUCCACGCGGUAAACGAUGAUCACUAGGUGUCCGUGGGUAUGACCCAUGGGUGCCGCAGCCAACGCAAUAAGUGAUCCACCUGGGGAGUACGUUCGCAAGAAUGAAACUCAAAUGAAUUGACGGGG